rnacentral:rRNA from 1 species
GAGUCGCUACGCGGUGUGCUUAUACUUGCACGUCGAACGGUGAAAGCGGAGCUUGCUCUGCUGGAUCAGUGGCGAACGGGUGAGUAACACGUGAGCAACCUGCCCCGGACUCUGGGAUAACAGCUGGAAACAGCUGCUAAUACCGGAUACGAGCUGCGAAGGCAUCUUCAGCAGCUGGAAAGAAUUUCGGUCCGGGAUGGGCUCACGGCCUAUCAGCUAGUUGGUGAGGUAACGGCUCACCAAGGCGUCGACGGGUAGCCGGCCUGAGAGGGUGACCGGCCACACUGGGACUGAGACACGGCCCAGACUCCUACGGGAGGCAGCAGUGGGGAAUAUUGCACAAUGGGCGCAAGCCUGAUGCAGCAACGCCGCGUGAGGGACGACGGCCUUCGGGUUGUAAACCUCUUUUAGCAGGGAAGAAGCGAAAGUGACGGUACCUGCAGAAAAAGCGCCGGCUAACUACGUGCCAGCAGCCGCGGUAAUACGUAGGGCGCAAGCGUUAUCCGGAAUUAUUGGGCGUAAAGAGCUCGUAGGCGGUCUGUCGCGUCUGCUGUGAAAACCCGAGGCUCAACCUCGGGCCUGCAGUGGGUACGGGCAGACUAGAGUGCGGUAGGGGAGAUUGGAAUUCCUGGUGUAGCCGAUGGAAUGCCGCAGAUAUCAUGAGGAACACCGAUGGCGAACGCAGAUCUUCUGGGACGUAACUGACGCUGAGGAACUAAAUGUUG